rnacentral:lncRNA from 1 species
UACUAGCGAGUGCAUUCAUUCCGGUUCCUCACAAGCUCCUGGGCGCUCCAGACCAGCCUCAAGAUCAGCCACUUUGUAUAUAUUGGAAAAACAGUAUGGGAUUGCUAGACCGACUUUCAGGUUUGCUUGGCCUGAAGAAGAAAGAGGUUCAUGUUUUGUGCCUUGGGCUGGAUAACAGUGGCAAAACAACAAUCAUUAACAAACUUAAACCUUCAAAUGCUCAAUCUCAAGAUAUAGUUCCAACAAUAGGAUUCAACAUAGAGAAAUUCAAAUCAUCCAGAUAUUAAACACCGUCGAAUUCCAAUCUUAUUCUUUGCAAACAAAAUGGAUCUUAGAGAUGCAGUGACAUCUGUAAAAGUGUCUCAGUUGCUGUGUUUAGAGAACAUCAAAGAUAAACCAUGGCAUAUUUGUGCUAGUGAUGCCAUAAAAGGAGAAGGAUUGCAAGAAGGUGUAGACUGGCUUCAAGAUCAGAUCCAGUCUGUGAAGACAUGAAAAUAUAGGAUCUAGAAACCUCAACAAUUUUGAAUCCAAGGAAUAUAUUUAAUAUAAACUGAGUACGUUAAAAUCUUUUAAAGGUGUGUGUGCAUCCCGGAAUACUUUAUAAUAUUCUGUUUGCAUUAAUGGACUUUGAAGAGCUUUUUAAGACCAUAGGAAUUUCAGGUAUGCUAAUCUGGCUAUUUAUUACAUAAAAACUAAAUCUUUCCUCAAAAGGAAUCCCUAGAAUUAUCAACUUUUUGGUAAAGGUCUACAUUUGAUUGUAAUCAGAAUAUUUGAAAGAGUUAUGAGCCAUCUCAAUAUCCCAUCAUGAUUUAUGAUCUUUAAUGUAUUUUAUUUUUGUCUUUUUAAAUAUGUAGUUUAUGGUAUGAUUUUUUAGUAUGAAUUGUGCUUUUGAAAAUAGCUUUAAAUAUUUAUAAAGGACCAUGGAU